rnacentral:rRNA from 1 species
ACUCAAAUGAAUUGACGGGGGCCCGCACAAGCGGCGGAGCGUGCGGUUUAAUUCGACGCAACGCGCAGAACCUUACCAGGGCUUGACAUGCGCCUGCAGACCCGGGAAACCGGGGGGCCUUCGAGGGUGGCGCACAGGUGCUGCAUGGCUGUCGUCAGCUCGUGUCGUGAGAUGUUGGGUUAAGUCCCGCAACGAGCGCAACCCCCGUGGUCAGUUGCCGAUGUUUCUGGCCAGACUGCCGGCAGCAAACCGGAGGAAGGUGGGGAUGACGUCAAGUCAGCAUGGCCCUUACGUCCUGGGCGACACGCACGCUACAAUGGCCGGGACAACGGGUCGCCAAGCCGCAAGGUGGAGCCAAUCCCCCAAACCCGGUCUCAGUUGGAAUCGGGGGCUGCAACCCGCCCCCGUGAACGUGGAGUCGCUAGUAACCGCGGGUCAGCAGUACCGCGGUGAAUACGUUCCCGGGCCUUGUACACACCGCCCGU